AAAAAAAAAAAAAAAAAAGGGUUAGUGUCUUCUUGUCGAUUUGGAUUGAUAAGAAGAUGAGAAGAAACUUUCUUUUGGUGGUUUUUCCAGUCCUUCGUUAAAAAAAAAAAUCUUUUCUUUUCUUUUCUAUUGGGUUUCGAUUGGUGUUUUUAAUUCUUGAAAAUGGAACAAGGGCCAAUUCUUUCUCCCCAUAUACUCAUCUUUCCUGCCGCAGGCCAAGGCCAUGUGAACUCCUUACUCAAGCUUGCAGAGCUUUUAUGCCUUGCUGGCUUUAAGAUCACCUUCAUAAAUUUCCAGAAUAUCCAUGAACGUCUAGUUCGUCAUACAGAUGUUGAAGCUCGUUUUUCCAAAUAUUAUGGAUUCCAAUUCAAAACCAUACCAGGUUGUCAGGCAGAAGAUCCUCGACCGGUCGACUGGGUGAGAAAGUUACUUCAGGAAAUGGAAGUGAAGAGCAAGCCAAUUUUCAAGAAGAUGGUGAUUGAGAGUAACCCAGCAGUUAAAUAUAUCAUAGGAGAUGGGGUGAUGGGAUUUGUCUAUGAUGUUGCGGUUGAGGUUGGAAUUCCUGCUAUUCAGAUGCACUGCAUCAGUGCUUGCUCCUUCUGGACAUUCUUUUCUAUUCCUGACGUUGUUGCUGCUCAUCAACUUCCUAUCAAAGGAAAAGAAGACAUGGACAGGUUUAUCACAAAAGUACCAGGAAUGGAAACGUU
rnacentral:misc_RNA from 1 species